rnacentral:rRNA from 1 species
AGUGAACGCUGGCGGUAGGCCUAACACAUGCAAGUCGAACGGCAGCACAGUAAGAGCUUGCUCUUACGGGUGGCGAGUGGCGGACGGGUGAGGAAUACAUCGGAAUCUACUUUUUCGUGGGGGAUAACGUAGGGAAACUUACGCUAAUACCGCAUACGACCUACGGGUGAAAGCAGGGGAUCUUCGGACCUUGCGCGAUUGAAUGAGCCGAUGUCGGAUUAGCUAGUUGGCGGGGUAAAGGCCCACCAAGGCGACGAUCCGUAGCUGGUCUGAGAGGAUGAUCAGCCACACUGGAACUGAGACACGGUCCAGACUCCUAAGGGAGGCAGCAGUGGGGAAUAUUGGACAAUGGGCGCAAGCCUGAUCCAGCCAUACCGCGUGGGUGAAGAAGGCCUUCGGGUUGUAAAGCCCUUUUGUUGGGAAAGAAAAGCAUCAGGUUAAUACCCCGCUGUUCUGACGGUACCCAAAGAAUAAGCACCGGCUAACUUCGUG